AUGAGAGGUGUUUGUUCCCUUUUGAGCUGCCCUGUGGUAUCCCACCCAGCCCCCAGUGAGGAAUCCAGCAGGGAUGGGGUAUUCCUGGUCCAUCUCACUUCUGCCCAUCUGUCACGGCAAAAAACACAAAAAGGAGCCAGAUCACCCCUAAUUCAAACCCACAGCCUGACACACAUUGCCUUAUGAUUCCUCAGAAAAACCACAUAUUCAGGAAAGGGAGGAGGGAGCCAAGAAGAAGGAAGGACUUUUCUGGCCAGCUCAAGGACACCUGGAGAUCUGGUGAUGUUUUGAGGGUUAAUGAAGACAGCACAAAGAACCAUCAGGUGGCCCACUGGAACAAAGGGACAGCAGAUCAGGCGCCUGCAGCUCCAGGAUUCUCAGCCCCCAGGGAAGGAGUGGGGUUUCAAACACAGCUGGAAACAACACAUGAAAAUUUCAUUUAUUUAACAGCUACAUUUGGCCCUUGGACUCUGGGGAAAUUACUGUCAGAAGGGUAUAACUUCCACUGAUGGAACUUACACUUGUGGUAUUACU